ensembl:lncRNA
ACACACACACACACACACACACACACAAAAAUACACACACAAAAGGUGCUUUUCCACUGCAGGAACAUUUACAGGAACAGCCCCCUAACCCUGUUCAGCCUUUCUGUUUCCCUUGCGGAGUCGGACCUCCUAGACUUGAUGGUAGCCUUUGCCCUUCAAUAGCGACGUCAAUCCCGAGCAAUACAAAUUAACGCUAUAUUUUUCCAGCCGCAGCAACAACAUUAGAAUGCUGUUAACAUUCGAUUCAAUGACUUCAUGGCAGCUGUAAUUACGCCUACUUGAUAGAUGAAGAGGCCAGCACCAUUGUUGAUUUUUGAUAUUUUAGCUGAUAUGUUCAGCCAGUGAUAGUAACCUCAACAUGCUAACUCCGUGAGUUAGCUGCAUUCACUGUGUAAGGUCUGGUAAAAACUACUCUUGCUGGUUUUAAAUAUGGUGCUUCUCGUCUUUCACUUCCAUCGAGUUUAACCAAUAAGCGUCAACCAUCACUGCAAGCGCCACCCAGCAAUUUCCGGGCCCCUCAGAGGUACUUAUUAUUAUCUAUCUAUCUAUCUAUCUAUGUAUCGAUCUAUUUCACUCCUGAGAACGGCCCUGAAAGAAGUCGGCUUCAGGGCCUACAGGGCCGGUUCUUGCAGUGGAAAACCGCCUUAAUACUGUGCCCGCCAACUUGUGCCAGCUCCCCUAAAAUGUCCGGCAAGUCCCCGCAGUGGAAAAGCACCUAUAUACUGUGCCCGCCAACUUGCAUUGAAAGAGCUCCUUUGACAACAGUUCAAAAUACAGCCUAGAAGGGCGGUUCUUACAGGACACACACACACACAGUUCAAAAUGUACUUUCACACCUGAUACUUCCUGGUAUAACGUCACACAAUGCAGUGUAUUGAUUCAAGGUGUGUGUUUCUAGCUCUUGUGCACUCGUUGGAAAAUGACGAGUUUGUUUUCCAGCUCCCUGGAUAAAGCUCAUCUAGGGGACGCCUGAAGGAGAGCGCCGCUUUCCUCCUCUCCUGCUCACAGAUUGCUUUCUGUUCCACCCCUCCACUGAAUCAUUACUGAUGUGCUCUGGUGUUAAAUAGAGCUGACGGAGAGCCACAGGCUCCUAGGAACACCGCUCCUGUCCCGUCAGAGCAGGCUCCCAGGAACACCGCUCCUGUCCCGUCAGAGCAGGCUCCCAGGAACACCACUCCUGUCUGAGACCGCUCUGCACUUGCCGAGUUUCGCCCUGGCUGCUCGGCGAGACGACAGCAGUGACAAAUGUUUCACUUUCAGACGAGCGACUCUGAUGUUCACACAGACAUGCCACUCCCUCACCUAACAACCUCCUCGAGAUCAGCCGCAUCAACUUACAGGUGCCGCCUCCAGAGCCGAACUCUUGCCACUCCUGACUCUAAUUAAGGGGUUUCAGCUUCUUAUACUUCAGUGGACAUAGUGCCUCAGUACUUCCCCCACAUCUGAGGUGCUUCGUUCAGCUGAGAACAAGUCAGUCACUGACGCCUGAUGGAAGUCAGACCUCACAACCAACACAGCUCUGUGUUUGUCACGGGUGAACUGAUGGCUUUUGUUUUGCAGCAUGUGGGUCAUGUAAAUGGCCUGGAGGUGAGUCAGUAUGAAUAGGACUCUGUUGAACUCUGUUUAAUUACCCAGUCCAGGUGAGGCUCUGCGAGGCGGAGCGGAGCGUUGGGAUGAAACAUGGAAAUGGGCGGGACCGGAACACUGACCCCAAACACA